GUGCUCACUUCGGCAGCACAUAUACUAAAAUUGGAAUGAUACAGAGAAGAUUUGCAUGGCCCCUUUGCAAGAAUGUCAUGCAAAUUCGUGAAGCAUUCCAUAUUUUU
ensembl:snRNA U6 U6 spliceosomal RNA